rnacentral:rRNA from 1 species
UACGGGGGGAGCAAGCGUUGUUCGGAUUUACUGGGCGUAAAGGGUGCGUAGGCGGCCAGCACAAGUCAGUUGUGAAAUCUCCGAGCUUAACUCGGAAAGGUCAACUGAUACUGUGCGGCUAGAGUGCGGAAGGGGCAACUGGAAUUCUUGGUGUAGCGGUGAAAUGCGUAGAUAUCAAGAGGAACACCUGCGGCGAAGGCGGGUUGCUGGGCCGACACUGACGCUGAGGCGCGAAAGCCAGGGGAGCGAACGGG